UAUUUUACCAUUACAAAUGUAAUAACGUCAUCACUCAUAAAAACUUGUGAGAUUGUGAGUUUAAUGGUGAAGAAUUCUGUGUUAACCUAGACAGAGAUUCAAAUAGGAAUUUAGGAUUAUUUUUGUUCUCUUCCAUGAGUCUGGAGAGGUACACAGACCUCACAGUCUGUACUUAGAGAGGCUCUUUCCAGGUAGAUCUGAAAACUUCUAGUUUAGUUGAGCCCCAUUUGCGCUCUAGCUUGCGUGACGCCUGUUUAAGUUACGCGUAUGAUCAGAGCACCAGGGGGCAGGUUUCUUAUCUCUAUGCUUUAUCUUCUUAAGUGGAGCUACAAGAUCUAGGUGCUGCGAAGUGAUUUCUCCAUGUGCACAGUUACCCGCUCAAGUUAAUUUUCACACAGGGCUUCAGAUGUAAGGCUGAAGGACUGUGGAAGUUGGUUGAGAAAUACUGUUGUAGUGAAUGAGGCAAUGGAACGUCUGAUACUGUACUUUGGACCUGGAGCCGAAGGGAGGCUAUACUGUAUAUCAAACGUUAACAAGUAAUGAUCUGAAAGCAAAGGAUUUUGAGGUUAGGGACCAGACGGUCUAUACACAAUAACAAUGGUGAUUGGAGGUUAGGGACCAGACGGUCUAUACACAAUAACAAUGGUGAUUGGAGGUUAGGGACCAGGCGGUCUAUACACAAUAACAAUGGUGAUUGGAGGUUAGGGACCAGGCGGUCUAUACACAAUAACAAUGGUGAUUGGAGGUUAGGGACCAGGCGGUCUAUACACAAUAAUAAUGGUGAUUGGAGGUUAGGGACCAGGCGGUCUAUACACAAUAGCAAUGGUGAUUGGAGGUUAGGGACCAGCCGGUCUAUACACAAUAACAAUGGUGAUUGGAGGUUAGGGACCAGACGGUCUAUACACAAUAACAAUGGUGAUUGGAGGUUAGGGACCAGCCGGUCUAUACACAAUAACAAUGGUGAUUGGAGGUUAGGGACCAGACGGUCUAUACACAAUAACAAUGGUGAUUGGAGGUUAGGGACCAGACGGUCUAUACACAAUAACAAUGGUGAUUGGAGGUUAGGGACCAGGCGGUCUAUACACAUUAACAAUGGUGAUUGGAGGUUAGGGACCAGGCGGUCUAUACACAUUAACAAUGGUGAUUGGAGGUGAAGAACUACAAAGAAAUGAUCCCGCAAGACUAAGAAGAAGAAUUUCAAAUGUGCUAAAACUAUAAGCACUUUGCUCAGACACUCCUAGGUCAGACUGAAAUAUUGCAGCAGCACCAGCACCUUUGCACCGGAAAUGAUAGAUGAGAGAGAGAGAGAGAGAGAGAGAGAGAGAGUUGGGAAGCUCAAAAUUCCCACCAGAAAGCUGCACUUGAAUGGCUAAAAAUAGAAGUUGGUGAUGUGACAAUACUGAACUUACAAGAAUGGCGAACGCAUGGUUACUGCAAGGGACAAUGCUUGUGAAAUUCUGCACA